rnacentral:rRNA from 1 species
CACGUAGGGGGCAAGCGUUGUCCGGAAUUACUGGGCGUAAAGAGCGCGUAGGUGGUGAUUUAAGUCAGGUGUGAAAGGCCAGGGCUCAACCCUGGGAUUGCACUUGAAACUGGAUGACUUGAGGGCAGGAGAGGUAAGUGGAAUUCCCAGUGUAGCGGUGAAAUGCGUAGAUAUUGGGAGGAACACCAGUGGCGAAAGCGACUUACUGGCCUGGCCCUGACACUGAGGCGCGAAAGCGUGGGGAGCGAACAGG